UGGGGAAUAUUGGACAAUGGGCGCAAGCCUGAUCCAGCCAUGCCGCGUGAGUGAUGAAGGCCCUAGGGUUGUAAAGCUCUUUUAACGGGGAAGAUAACGACGGUACCCGUAGAAUAAGCCCCGGCUAACUUCGUGCCAGCAGCCGCGGUAAUACGAAGGGGGCUAGCGUUGCUCGGAAUCACUGGGCGUAAAGGGUGCGUAGGUGGAUCUUUAAGUCAGGGGUGAAAUCCUGGAGCUCAACUCCAGAUCUGCCUUUGAUACUGAGGAUCUUGAGUUCGGGAGAGGUAAGUGGAACUGCGAGUGUAGAGGUGAAAUUCGUAGAUAUUCGCAAGAACACCAGUGGCGAAGGCGGCUUACUGGCCCGAUACUGACACUGAGGCACGAAAGCGUGGGGAGCAAACA
rnacentral:rRNA from 1 species